GUCCCACCUGAUCCCAUGCCGAACUCAGAAGUGAAACGCCGUAGCGCCGAUGGUAGUGUGGGGUCUCCCCAUGUGAGAGUAGGGAACUGCCAAGC
rnacentral:rRNA from 1 species